GACGAACGCUGGCGGCGUGCCUAAUACAUGCAAGUUGAGCGCUGAAGGUUGGUACUUGUACCAACUGGAUGAGCAGCGAACGGGUGAGUAACGCGUGGGGAAUCUGCCUUUGAGCGGGGGACAACAUUUGGAAACGAAUGCUAAUACCGCAUAAAAACUUUAAACACAAGUUUUAAGUUUGAAAGAUGCAAUUGCAUCACUCAAAGAUGAUCCCGCGUUGUAUUAGCUAGUUGGUGAGGUAAAGGCUCACCGAGGCGAUGAUACAUAGCCGACCUGAGAGGGUGAUCGGCCACAUUGGGACUGAGACACGGCCCAAACUCCUACGGGAGGCAGCAGUAGGGAAUCUUCGGCAAUGGACGAAAGUCUGACCAAGCAACGCCGCGUGAGUGAAGAAGGUUUUCGGAUCGUAAAACUCUGUUGGUAGAGAAGAACGUUGGUGAGAGUGGAAAGCUCAUCAAGUGACGGUAACUACCCAGAAAGGGACGGCUAACUACGUG
rnacentral:rRNA from 1 species